rnacentral:rRNA from 1 species
UGGGGAAUUUUCCGCAAUGGGCGCAAGCCUGACGGAGCAAGACCGCGUGCGGGAGGACGGCCUAUUGGUUGUAAACCGCUUUUGAUAGGGAAGAAGUUCUGACGGUACCUAUCGAAUCAGCAUCGGCUAACUCCGUGCCAGCAGCCGCGGUAAUACGGAGGAUGCAAGCGUUAUCCGGAAUUAUUGGGCGUAAAGCGUCCGUAGGUGGUUGUUCAAGUCUGCUGUUAAAGCGUGCGGCUUAACCGCAUACCAGCAGUGGAAACUGGGCGACUAGAGUGCGGUAGGGGUCAGGGGAAUUCCCAGUGUAGCGGUGAAAUGCGUAGAUAUUGGGAAGAACACCGGUGGCGAAAGCGCCUGACUGGACCUGCACUGA